ACAUCCUCUCUUGAUGAAGAUAUAUUACCAGGUAUCUUUAAUGUUAUCUCUUUGGCGGACCUUGCAGGGCAGAACUAUCAUUUGCUUUAAAUCUCAAUACUCAAUAUUAAGUUGCAUGUAACUUUACAAACUUUAUAAACAAAGAGAGAGAUAGAGAGCAGUACGUAAUUAAUUAUUUUUAUCACUUGUACAAACGCUACGGAAUCAUGAUAAUUGUAAGAUAAAGCUCACUUGCAUACGCAGAACCCAUCUUAAUUAUUCUUUAAUAUUUCAUUUCUUUGAUUCUUUCCCAGAAUGGUCCACAGGUGAAGCUUGGCUUGAUUCUUCAGAAUGUAUCUUCUUAGCCAUCCACGAGACAGAGCCACUCGAUUUUUUCUCUUCUGAACGAUCAUCAGUCCCUUCAAUCUUGGCUCCAUCUUCUUGCAUUUUCUUCAUUUUCUCCUUAUGAGCCUUCAUUGACACAUAUGCCUCUGCAAGAGAGCAUCCAGCAGGAGUUGCCAUGGACUGCAGCAAAAGUUUUGUGAUAUAUAUCUAAAUGAUUUGUAUUACAACUUUGAUUGCUUUGUGUAAAUGAUGAUGAGCUUAAUUUAUAGAGGUUUUGGAACUUGGCUGUCAAGCAAUCGUCACCUUCUUUAGUAUUUUAACUUAUCAUUAAGUGAUUUUGAUUAAACAAUUUCAAGUUUUUCUUCAGAAUUCAGACUUGGACAAAGUUAAAGUAGGGACAUUCUGAAUGGUCC
rnacentral:lncRNA from 1 species